GACGAACGCUGGCGGCGUGCCUAAUACAUGCAAGUAGAACGCUGAAGAGAGGAGCUUGCUCUUCUUGGAUGAGUUGCGAACGGGUGAGUAACGCGUAGGUAACCUGCCUUGUAGCGGGGGAUAACUAUUGGAAACGAUAGCUAAUACCGCAUAACAAUGGAUGACACAUGUCUUUUAUUUGAAAGGGGCAAUUGCUCCACUACAAGAUGGACCUGCGUUGUAUUAGCUAGUAGGUGAGGUAAUGGCUCACCUAGGCGACGAUACAUAGCCGAACUGAGAGGGUGAUCGGCCACACUGGGACUGAGACAAGGCCCAGACUCCUACGGGAGGCAGCAGUAGGGAAUCUUCGGCAAUGGGGGCAACCCUGACCGAGCAACGCCGCGUGAGGGAAGAAGGUUCUCGGAUCGGAAAGCUCCGUUGUAAGUCAAGAACGGGUGUGGGAGUGGAAAGUGCACACUGUGACGGUAGCUUACCAGAAAGGGACGGCUAACUACGUG
rnacentral:rRNA from 1 species